UUAAGCGACUAAGCGUACACGGUGGAUGCCCUGGCAGUCAGAGGCGAUGAAGGGCGUGCUAAUCUGCGAUAAGCGCCGGUAAGGUGAUAUGAACCGUUAUAACCGGCGAUACCCGAAUGGGGAAACCCAGUGUGAUUCGUCACACUAUCAUUAACUGAAUCCAUAGGUUAAUGAGGCGAACCGGGGGAACUGAAACAUCUAAGUACCCCGAGGAAAAGAAAUCAACCGAGAUUCCCCCAGUAGCGGCGAGCGAACGGGGAGGAGCCCAGAGCCUGAAUCAGCAUGUGUGUUAGUGGAAGCGUCUGGAAAGGCGCGCGAUACAGGGUGACAGCCCCGUACACAAAAGCGCAUGUGCUGUGAGCUCGAUGAGUAGGGCGGGACACGUGGUAUCCUGUCUGAAUAUGGGGGGACCAUCCUCCAAGGCUAAAUACUCCUGACUGACCGAUAGUGAACCAGUACCGUGAGGGAAAGGCGAAAAGAACCCCGGCGAGGGGAGUGAAAAAGAACCUGAAACCGUGUACGUACAAGCAGUGGGAGCACCCUUCGGGGUGUGACUGCGUACCUUUUGUAUAAUGGGUCAGCGACUUAUAUUCUGUAGCAAGGUUAACCGUAUAGGGGAGCCGGAGGGAAACCGAGUCUUAAUUGGGCGUUAAGUUGCAGGGUAUAGACCCGAAACCCGGUGAUCUAGCCAUGGGCAGGUUGAAGGUUGGGUAACACUAACUGGAGGACCGAACCGACUAAUGUUGAAAAAUUAGCGGAUGACCUGUGGCUGGGGGUGAAAGGCCAAUCAAACCGGGAGAUAGCUGGUUCUCCCCGAAAGCUAUUUAGGUAGCGCCUCGUGAAUUCAUCUCCGGGGGUAGAGCACUGUUUCGGCUAGGGGGCCAUCCCGGCUUACCAACCCGAUGCAAACUGCGAAUACCGGAGAAUGUUAUCACGGGAGACACACGGCGGGUGCUAACGUCCGUCGUGAAGAGGGAAACAACCCAGACCGCCAGCUAAGGUCCCAAAGUCAUGGUUAAGUGGGAAACGAUGUGGGAAGGCCCAGACAGCCAGGAUGUUGGCUUAGAAGCAGCCAUCAUUUAAAGAAAGCGUAAUAGCUCACUGGUCGAGUCGGCCUGCGCGGAAGAUGUAACGGGGCUAAACCAUGCACCGAAGCUGCGGCAGCGAACGUAUCACCCAAGACAACUUUACGGAGUUGACGAUUGACGGAGCGAAGCGACGUCAAAGCGUUCAUUAAAGUCGAGUUGGCUUAGGGAUACGUUCGUUGGGUAGGGGAGCGUUCUGUAAGCCUGUGAAGGUGUGUCGUGAGGCAUGCUGGAGGUAUCAGAAGUGCGAAUGCUGACAUAAGUAACGAUAAAGCGGGUGAAAAGCCCGCUCGCCGGAAGACCAAGGGUUCCUGUCCAACGUUAAUCGGGGCAGGGUGAGUCGACCCCUAAGGCGAGGCCGAAAGGCGUAGUCGAUGGGAAACGGGUUAAUAUUCCCGUACUUGGUGUUACUGCGAAGGGGGGACGGAGAAGGCUAUGUUGGCCGGGCGACGGUUGUCCCGGUUUAAGGGUGUAGGUGUGUGUUCCAGGUAAAUCCGGUUCACUUUAACACUGAGGCGUGACGACGAGGCACUACGGUGCUGAAGCAACAAAUGCCCUGCUUCCAGGAAAAGCCUCUAAGCAUCAGGUAACACGAAAUCGUACCCCAAACCGACACAGGUGGUCAGGUAGAGAAUACCAAGGCGCUUGAGAGAACUCGGGUGAAGGAACUAGGCAAAAUGGUGCCGUAACUUCGGGAGAAGGCACGCUGACACGUAGGUGAAGUGAUUUACUCAUGGAGCUGAAGUCAGUCGAAGAUACCAGCUGGCUGCAACUGUUUAUUAAAAACACAGCACUGUGCAAACACGAAAGUGGACGUAUACGGUGUGACGCCUGCCCGGUGCCGGAAGGUUAAUUGAUGGGGUCAGCGUAAGCGAAGCUCCUGAUCGAAGCCCCGGUAAACGGCGGCCGUAACUAUAACGGUCCUAAGGUAGCGAAAUUCCUUGUCGGGUAAGUUCCGACCUGCACGAAUGGCGUAAUGAUGGCCAGGCUGUCUCCACCCGAGACUCAGUGAAAUUGAACUCGCUGUGAAGAUGCAGUGUACCCGCGGCAAGACGGAAAGACCCCGUGAACCUUUACUAUAGCUUGACACUGAACAUUGAGCCUUGAUGUGUAGGAUAGGUGGGAGGCUUUGAAGUGUGGACGCCAGUCUGCAUGGAGCCGACCUUGAAAUACCACCCUUUAAUGUUUGAUGUUCUAACGUGGACCCGUAAUCCGGGUUGCGGACAGUGUCUGGUGGGUAGUUUGACUGGGGCGGUCUCCUCCUAAAGAGUAACGGAGGAGCACGAAGGUUGGCUAAUCCUGGUCGGACAUCAGGAGGUUAGUGCAAUGGCAUAAGCCAGCUUGACUGCGAGCGUGACGGCGCGAGCAGGUGCGAAAGCAGGUCAUAGUGAUCCGGUGGUUCUGAAUGGAAGGGCCAUCGCUCAACGGAUAAAAGGUACUCCGGGGAUAACAGGCUGAUACCGCCCAAGAGUUCAUAUCGACGGCGGUGUUUGGCACCUCGAUGUCGGCUCAUCACAUCCUGGGGCUGAAGUAGGUCCCAAGGGUAUGGCUGUUCGCCAUUUAAAGUGGUACGCGAGCUGGGUUUAGAACGUCGUGAGACAGUUCGGUCCCUAUCUGCCGUGGGCGCUGGAGAACUGAGGGGGGCUGCUCCUAGUACGAGAGGACCGGAGUGGACGCAUCACUGGUGUUCGGGUUGUCAUGCCAAUGGCACUGCCCGGUAGCUAAAUGCGGAAGAGAUAAGUGCUGAAAGCAUCUAAGCACGAAACUUGCCCCGAGAUGAGUUCUCCCUGAGACUUAGAGUCUCCUGAAGGAACGUUGAAGACGACGACGUUGAUAGGCCGGGUGUGUAAGCGCAGCGAUGCGUUGAGCUAACCGGUACUAAUGAACCGUGAGGCUUAACCUU
rnacentral:rRNA from 1 species